GCCCGGCCGACGCCGCCGAAUUCGAAAGCGUCGCAUCCACGCGGCUGUUGUAGUCACGGAAGUAACCCCGCUGUGUCAAGCGUUAUAAAUACCACUUCUCCUACGUACUACGUAUGACGUACAUGACUUGAAAUUGGUCUCGUUCAGUAAAGCCAAUAAUCGCACGACCAUUGAUAUUCUGUGGACUAUCUUUAUGCGCAUGCGCAGCAAAGAAUACAGCUGUUUCACAGCUUACGUACGUGCAACGAACAUUUUGGCGGUUGGGUUUACAGCGGACAAAGAAAACGAUAUAAUAAAGUAAUUAGAAUAGUGUACUGAUGCUGUGCUUGUGCUUACGCGGGAAAAAAUGGACCGAUCCAACUAUUGCCGCUGAGCAGCAACAUCAUUAAUUUUCGUCUUUGGAAUCAGCAAAUGAACUCUAGGUUACACAAGAUUUGGCAAUUUGCUUUGCUGAAAGCGUGAUAACAUUGAGGCUCCGAUUGAACGAAAUAUACGAAGGUGUAAAGGACGAAAGCGGUUGCGAGGGUGGUGGAAUGGCAGUGGACCGACAACCGCAAAUGAGAAUGGCAGAGGGAACUACGCUGUUCUACGCUUCUCUAGUGACCGAUGAGGCCAAUUCUGCGAACCACGUUUGCUCCGUUCUGAGGCUGUUGCUCUAAACUUUUCUGUUGAUUGAAAUGAAGAAAUUGGAAUUCCGCAUCGCAUUUCCUUUGUUCGGGUUAGGCAUCAAUUAGACUUAAUUGGCACGUACGGAGUACCAUAGACUUUUACCAUUUAUUUUUAUUGUCAGUGAGAUAAUUGUGAUGAUUAUUGUUGAUAAGACAAACAUACCAUGAUUAAUAUCGCGCAGUAGUUAAUAAAUAGGUAU